rnacentral:rRNA from 1 species
GACGAACGCUGGCGGCGUGCCUAAUACAUGCAAGUAGAACGCUGAAGAGAGGAGCUUGCUCUUCUUGGAUGAGUUGCGAACGGGUGAGUAACGCGUAGGUAACCUGCCUUGUAGCGGGGGAUAACUAUUGGAAACGAUAGCUAAUACCGCAUAACAAUGGAUGACACAUGUCAUUUAUUUGAAAGGGGCAAUUGUUCCACUACAAGAUGGACCUGCGUUGUAUUAGCUAGUAGGUGAGGUAAUGGCUCACCUAGGCGACGAUACAUAGCCGACCUGAGAGGGUGAUCGGCCACACUGGGACUGAGACACGGCCCAGACUCCUACGGGAGGCAGCAGUAGGGAAUCUUCGGCAAGGGGGGCAACCCUGACCGAGCAACGCCGCGUGAGUGAAGAAGGUUUUCGGAUCGUAAAGCUCUGUUGUAAGUCAAGAACGGGUGUGAGAGUGGAAAGUUCACACUGUGACGGUAGCUUACCAGAAAGGGACGGCUAACUACGUG